rnacentral:rRNA from 1 species
UACGUAGGGACCAAGCGUUGUUCGGAUUUACUGGGCGUAAAGGGCGCGUAGGCGGUAUGACAAGUCACUUGUGAAAUCUCCGGGCUUAACUCGGAACGGCCAAGUGAUACUGUCGCGCUAGAGUGCAGAAAGGGCAAUCGGAAUUCUUGGUGUAGCGGUGAAAUGCGUAGAUAUCAAGAGGAACACCUGAGGCGAAGGCGGGUUGCUAGGCUGACACUGACGCUGAGUGCGCGAAAGCCAGGGGAGCAAACGGG